rnacentral:piRNA from 1 species
GAAAUAGGCAGGACUUCUGGGCAG